rnacentral:rRNA from 1 species
CCUACGGGAGGCAGCAGUAGGGAAUAUUGCUCAAUGGGGGAAACCCUGAAGCAGCAACGCCGCGUGGAGGAUGAAGGUUUUCGGAUUGUAAACUCCUUUUGUUAGAGAAGAUAAUGACGGUAUCUAACGAAUAAGCACCGGCUAACUCCGUGCCAGCAGCCGCGGUAAUACGGAGGGUGCAAGCGUUACUCGGAAUCACUGGGCGGAAAGAGCGCGUAGGCGGGAUAGCAAGUCAGAUGUGAAAUCCUAUGGCUUACCCAUAGAACUGAAUUUGAAACUGUUAUUCUAGAGUAUGGGAGAGGUAGGUGGAAUUCUUGGUGUAGGGGUAAAAUCCGUAGAGAUCAAGAGGAAUACUCAUUGCGAAGGCGACCUGCUAGAACAUAACUGACGCUGAUGCGCGAAAGCGUGGGGAGCAAACAGGAUUAGAUACCCCUGUAGUC